AUGGAAUGGAGCUGGGUCUUUCUCUUCCUCCUCUCUGUAACUGCAGGUGUCUACUCCCAGGUACAGCUGCAACAGUCCGGAGAUGAGCUGGCGAGACCUGGGACUUCAGUGAAGAUGUCCUGCAAGGCUUCUGGCUACACUUUUACCAGCAACUGGGUGUCCUGGGUAAUACAGAGGCCUGGACAGGGCCUGGAAUGGUUUGCAGCUAUUCAUCCUGGAAAUGGUGGUACUGCCUACAAUGAGAAGUUCAAUGGCAAGGCCACAUUGACUGUAGACACAUCCUCCAGCACAGCUUACAUUCAGCUCAGCAGACUGAAAUCUGAGGACUCUGCGGUCUAUUUCUGUGCAAGGCACAUUUUUGAUUUUAGCCAUUCU